AACCGUACCUCUUUAGAUAAGUUAAGGUUAACCGUCUGAUUCUAUUUUCUUUUCUGGCUCUUUAGCCUUGUUUAUAAAUAAAGGCCCACAAGAGAUCGUCAAGGUAUGAAAUCUUUUCUCUUCUAAUAUGCUCACUUCUUUCUUCUGUUGUUCAGAGUUCUGACUUGAGCGUUUCAGGAUCCCUACUGGAGCUAUAUCUGGUUAGAGACUUUUCUUUUAGGU
rnacentral:lncRNA from 1 species